UCGCUUCAGCAGCUAAUAUUCUACAACUGGAAGGAUGCAGAGAAGAUUAGCAUGGCCCCUGCGCCAGGAUGACACACAAAUUCGUGAAGCGUUCCAUAUUUUU
ensembl:snRNA U6 U6 spliceosomal RNA